rnacentral:miRNA from 1 species
GACGUCGAUAUUCGACGUCAUAAACACGAGCAAGUUUGGUGUUUAUGACGUCGAUAUUCGACGUCAUAAACACGAGCAAGUUUGGUGUUUAUGACGUCGAUAUUCGACGUCAUAAACACGAGCAAGUUUGGUGUUUAUGACGUCGAUAUUCGACGUC